GACGAACGCUGGCGGCGUGCUUAACACAUGCAAGUCGAACGGAAAGGCCCCUUCGGGGGUACUCGAGUGGCGAACGGGUGAGUAACACGUGAGUAACCUGCCCUUGACUUCGGGAUAACUUCAGGAAACUGGGGCUAAUACCGGAUAGGAAUCCUUGCUGCAUGGUGGGGGUUGGAAAGCUUCGGCGGUUUUGGAUGGACUCGCGGCUUAUCAGCUUGUUGGUAGGGUAGUGGCUUACCAAGGCUUUGACGGGUAGCCGGCCUGAGAGGGCGACCGGCCACAUUGGGACUGAGAUACGGCCCAGACUCCUACGGGAGGCAGCAGUGGGGAAUAUUGCACAAUGGGCGGAAGCCUGAUGCAGCAACGCCGCGUGCGGGAUGACGGCCUUCGGGUUGUAAACCGCUUUCAGCAGGGGCGAAGCUUGUGGUGACGGUACCUGCAGAAGAAGCACCGGCUAACUACGUG
rnacentral:rRNA from 1 species